CCAACACCCACCACCCCGCCUCGGGAGAGGCACCCUAGGCCUCCCCGGCGGCCGCAGGGCUGGUCCGAGAGCCGCCGAUCCCGCCAGCUCCUCUCCGGGACUGAGGGCGCACGGUCCCCACGCCUGUCCCCUUUCAGCGCGGAGCGGAGCCAUGAGAAUUCAGGAAAGAACAACGUCACUUGCAAAGUUCUACAGUUUGCAGAGCAGGUCCGCCAAGUCGUCUUGCUCCUCUGAGUCUCCCUGGCUCUCCAUUUCACAAAGGAUGAAAUGAGAGCCGCAGAAAACUUAAUGGGCCCGCUUUAGCUAAUAGAGCUCUGUGCAUGCACAGACCACAGACAGCAGGAUCCAGCCCAGCCUGUCUCAAUCUGGGGUUGACCCGGCUGUUUGACAGGUGAAUGGGAAGGCAGACAAACCAUGGGGAGCCUGUGUGGAAAUCUUCAAAAAUUUGAAGUGUCCUUCUGACUGAGGCUGAAGAAGGGAAAACACUUCCUGGUUUCUCCUUCUUGCCGACUUCUUAGCAAGCAGUCGAGGUGUCUGGAGGUGUCUGGAGGUUGUCUUUCAUCCGAUUGUCUCUUUAAUGUAAUUUAUGGUAAUUUGGAUUUGUUCACCUGUCUUCUGGUGGCUGUGCCCAUUUUAUGUGUUGCCCUCCCACACUCCCUCCAACCGCCCAGUGAUUCUUGGACAGAGGCGGGGAUGGAGGAAUUGGGUUUCAUGCUUCCUUCUAUUCCCCACAGCACUCAGCCCAGGGUCUUAGACACGAACUCUCCUGAACUCUAGGCCCAUCUAUCCAAUAGCAUACCUUAUAUCUCCACCAACAUGUCUGUAAAUAGUGCCAACUCAACCCGUUCUCUGUCCUCACCCACCACCAGCGGGAAACCUGCUCUUCCCCAUCGCUGUUAAUAACAUCCUUUCAGUGGCUCAGGUCAGAAAUUUUGGUGUCAUGUAUACUUCUCCUUCCUCUCACCCCCACAUCGAGUCCAUCAGAAAAUCCUCUCGUGGUCAGCCCUCUACUGCACUCCAGCCGCAUCGGCCUCCCUGCAAUUUCUCGAACACACCAGGUGCGCUUCAGCCUCAUGGCCUUUGCACUGGAUAGUCCUCUGCUCGAUCGCUCUGCCCUCUUGGCAUAGUCUUUGCCUAAACAUCCCUUCUCAAUGAAUCCCACCCUGCAACGCUAUUUAGACGUAUAAGUCCUCCCUACCAGAAAGUAAACUCCACAAGACUCAGAGCAUUGUGUUUUGUUCACCCAUGCAUCCCGGAAACUUAGUGCCUGACACAAUGUAAUUGUUUAAGGAACAAAUAAACAUUGGUUUGAAAUGAAUGGUGGUCACAAGCCCACACAUUUCCCUAGGAAGCCAUGCUCCUUCCAUAGCUAGUCUGGCUUCUUUGCAUCUGCUGCAGGGACAUAAGGAGCUAUGGAUCUGCUGGACGCACAGGAAGAGGGAACAAAAUUAAAUGGGGUGAAGAGAAUGAGAAGACAAGUCACAGACUAGGAGAGAAAUCUUUGCAAAGACAUCGCUGAUAAAGGACCGGUAUCCGAAAUACAAAAGGAACUCUUAAAACUCAACCAUAAGAAAACAAACAACCCAAAUGAAAAAUGGACAAAAGACCUGAACAAAUAGCUCGCCAGAUAUACACAUGGCAAAUAAACAUAUGAAAAGAUGCUCAACAUUGUAUCAUUAUGGAACUGCAAAUUAAAACAAUGAGCUACCACCGCACACCUAGUAGAAUGUUCAAAACUCAGAGCACUGAUAACACCAAAUGCUGGCGAGAUGGAGCAAGAGGAACUCUUAUUCAUUGCUGGUCAGAAUGCAAAAUAGUACAUUCACUUUGGAAGAUAGUUUGGCAGUUUCUCAUGAAACUUAACAUACUCUUACCGUAUAAUCCAACAAUUGUGCUCGUUGGUAUUUACCCAAAGAAACUGAAAACUUAUAUACGCACAGACGCAGAUGUUUAUAGCAGCGUUAUUCAGAAUUGCCCAAACUUGGAAGCAACCAAGAUGCCCUUCAGUAGGUGAACAGAUAAAUAAAUCAGCGCAUCCAGAUGAUGGAAUAUUAUCCAGUGCUAAAAUGAAACAAGCUAUCAAUCCAUGAAAAGACAAGGAGAAACCUUAGAUAUUACUAAGUGAAAGAAACCAAUCUGAAAAGGCUACAUACUAUAUGAUUCCCACAAUAUAACAGUCUGGAAAAAGCAAAACUAUGGAGAGAGUAAAAAGAUGAGUGGUUGCCAGUAGCUGGAAGGAGGGAGAGAUGAAUAAGUAGAGAACAGAGGAUUUUUAAGCCAGUGAAAAUACUCUGUAUGGAACUAUAAUGAUGGACACGUUAUCAUACAUCUGUCCAAACUCAUAGACUGGACCCUAAUGUAAACUAUAGACUCUGGGUGAUAAUGACCCCUCAGUGAAAAUUUAUCGAUUAUAGUAAAUGUAACAUUAUGGUGUUGACAGUGGGGAGGACUAUGCAUGUGCGGGGAUGGGGGUAUAUGAGAACUUACAGUACUUUCUGCUCAAUUUUGCUAUGAACAUAAAACUAGCCUUAAAAAGUCUACUAAAAAAGUAAUAAAAAUGGGCCAUAGGUCUUUCCAAGCAGUAAA